rnacentral:tRNA from 1 species
GCCUGGGUGGUUCAGUCGGUUAAGCAUCUGACUUUGACUCAGGUCAUGAUCACGGUUCGUGGGUUCGAGCCCGCGUCAGGCU